AUUGAACGCUGGCGGCAUGCUUUACACAUGCAAGUCGAACGGUAACAGGCCGCAAGGUGCUGACGAGUGGCGAACGGGUGAGUAAUGCAUCGGAACGUGCCCAGUCGUGGGGGAUAACUACUCGAAAGAGUAGCUAAUACCGCAUACGAUCUAUGGAUGAAAGAGGGGGACCGUAAGGCCUCGCGCGAUUGGAGCGGCCGAUGUCAGAUUAGGUAGUUGGUGGGGUAAAGGCUCACCAAGCCAACGAUCUGUAGCUGGUCUGAGAGGACGACCAGCCACACUGGGACUGAGACACGGCCCAGACUCCUACGGGAGGCAGCAGUGGGGAAUUUUGGACAAUGGGCGCAAGCCUGAUCCAGCAAUGCCGCGUGCAGGAAGAAGGCCUUCGGGUUGUAAACUGCUUUUGUACGGAACGAAACGGCUCUGGUUAAUACCCGGGGCUAAUGACGGUACCGUAAGAAUAAGCACCGGCUAACUACGUG
rnacentral:rRNA from 1 species